GACGAACGCUGGCGGCGUGCCUAAUACAUGCAAGUCGAGCGGAUGGAAGGGAGCUUGCUCCCUGAAGUUAGCGGCGGACGGGUGAGUAACACGUGGGCAACCUGCCUGUAAGACUGGGAUAACUUCGGGAAACCGGAGCUAAUACCGGAUACGUUCUUUCCUCGCAUGAGGAAAGAUGGAAAGAUGGUUUCGGCUAUCACUUACAGAUGGGCCCGCGGCGCAUUAGCUAGUUGGUGGGGUAAUGGCCCACCAAGGCGACGAUGCGUAGCCGACCUGAGAGGGUGAUCGGCCACACUGGGACUGAGACACGGCCCAGACUCCUACGGGAGGCAGCAGUAGGGAAUCUUCCGCAAUGGACGAAAGUCUGACGGAGCAACGCCGCGUGAGCGAAGAAGGCCUUCGGGUCGUAAAGCUCUGUUGUCAGGGAAGAACAAGUGCCAGAGUAACUGCUGGCACCUUGACGGUACCUGACCAGAAAGCCACGGCUAACUACGUGCCAGCCGCCGCAGUAAGAC
rnacentral:rRNA from 1 species